GAGAUCUCUCAAUAUCUUUCAGUUCCGUUCGCCGAUUUGCUUCCGCCGCUGCUCGCCGGUGCCGCCGAUUAAAUCUAGGGUCAACAGCUGUUUGUGAUAACAACUUCUAUCUAUUACGGUUGUAGAUCUUUUUUGCAAGGAUCAAAUUUUAUCUAAAAAAGGGAAAGAUCAGGGUAAACCAUUAGAAGUCCUCAGUUAGGAUUACUAAAGCGAGAUUAGCUAAAGCACAUCUGUCCUAUUGACAAGGGUCUUCUGCUACCCUACUGCUCGGUCAAUGUUCACCUUUAAAAAAUCUAAAUAAUAUCAGUUAUUACUCAUUUCUUUUUAAAACAUCCCACUGAGAGUGAAGUGUGCUGGUGAGAUUGAAAGUCCCUAAUUGGUUGCUGUUACAUGGAUAUGAAGUCUCCUUAUGGGGUGAAUGCUAAGAAUUGAGUACAAUGGAUAGAGAUUUUGGAGAAGGCAUGCCGGGACAGCAAAAUAACUUUGAACAAGCUCGUUAUAGUUCUAUAGACACUAGAACAGAGGUCAUUGGUUCUUCAAACCAGAAAUUUUUCCAGGAUCCAUCAAGUUCUAUCAAUACAGACAUAAGACCACCUGAUUUCACUAUACCAGUCGGAGCUAGACCUGUAAUGAACUAUUCCAUUCAGACUGGCGAGGAGUUUGCUCUGGAAUUCAUGCGCGAAAGAGUUAACUCAAAGCAGAACCUUAUUCCUCAUGCUUCGGGGGGUACUGCUGGUGCAACUUCUUGUAUGGACCUGAAGGACAAAAGUGGAAUAUCUCAUACAGGUUCUGAAAGUGGAUCAGAUAUCGCCAUGAUCACCUCAGUUGGAAAAACUCGAGUUCAACAUCACGGGAGGUCUACUUCUGUAAAUGAAGGUAUAAGCAACCAUCAAGCUGUGCAAACUGAAACUAGAGCCUUAUCAAGAAAUAACAACAUUCAUGGAAUUCAAAGUCAAAUGUCUUCUAGAUCUAGUACAUUAACAAAGUUGAAGUUCCUCUGCAGUUUUGGUGGUAGAAUUAUGCCUCGUCCAAGUGAUGGGAAACUUAGAUAUAUUGGAGGUGAUACGCACCUCGUCCUUUUAAGAAAUGAUGUUUCUUGGGAGGAAUUCUGGCAAAAGAUGUUAACUUUAUUUAACAAUUGUCACACAAUAAAAUAUCAGCUACCUGGUGAGGAUCUCGAUGCAUUAGUGUCAGUUUCUUGUGAUGAAGACUUGCAGAAUAUGAUAGAGGAAUGUAAUGUAUUAGAAGGCGAUGGAUCACAAAAAUUGCGUACAUUUCUCUUUUCUUACAGUGACUUAGAUGAUUCUCUGGCUGGUUUGGAGAAUAUUGAAGGAGAUUCAGAAAUGCAGUAUGUUAUUGCUGUCAAUAGCAUGGACUUUGGUUCAAGAAGAAACUCCACUGCUCUGGCAAGCACUUCAGAAAAAAACCUGGAUGAGUUUCUGAGUGCAACAAUUGCUGGGGAGGAUGGUCAAGUUGCUAGGCAUGUAGCAGGGGCUGAUACUUCUGAUCCAGUCAUUGGCAUGCCUCUAACAAGUCAAUCUGCUCAUGAAGGGGUAUCAAUUUCAUCACAUAGAAUACUUGGGUCAAACUUGGGGCAUGACUCCAAUCAACUAGAAUACUUGGGUCAAACUGUACAUCAUGGUGGCACUGAAUGGCAACCUUUACCCUCUUCCAUACCAGUUGACAACUUUCCAGGUGUAGGUGGCAAAAACCUGGUUCUUCCAUCUAAGCAAGUGCAGUAUAACCAUGGUUAUCAACUACCCAACUCUUCACAACUUACAAAUAACUUUCUUAUAAGUUCGAGUCAUGGUUACAUGAACUGGAAAGGAGGCAUCGAUCCCAAGCAGUCUUACGAGAGCUCACAUAUGAAUGACCAAGAAUCACAUGCCACAGUAGUGAAUCUGAAAAGAGAUAACUAUCCCCGGGAGAUGUUUGAACUUAGUAAAGCAAAACCUCGAGAGAAGGAAGUGCCUGAGGAGGGAAAUAUAAAGGUAGAAAGCUCUUUUCAGAAAAUAAAUGAGCCUGAAAAAUUGUGGCCUUUGGAAUGCAAAAAAGUUGUUUCCUCGAACCCACUGAAUGAUUCCGCCUCAAGUCACGUUUCUAGAGUUGAAGUUCCGAAUUUCACUGCUUCGGCAGUUGUUGGAAACGAUGUUAUGCAAUCUAAAAUUAAUGAGAAGAGUCAGGAAGAAGUUCAGAGUUCAGCAUCUCCUGUUGCUGUUCAGGAAGAAAAACUUGAUAGGUUCACAGAAGAUGGCUUCUCCGGAUCUGGUAGAAUAUCAAAUUCUGGCUAUGGAGACUCGGGGGCAAACCUACAUGACAUUAGCUACGAACAACCAUCGAUUCCUCCACGAACUUUUCGCUCUGAAUGGAUACCCAGGGAACAGCCCGGCCUUAAUCGUUUAUCCAAAUCUGAUGAUUCUGCUGCCUCGCAAUUCAUAAUGGCCCAUGCAUAUUCUGAAGGCUCACAACAGAUCAUAGAAUCCGUUAAUAAAUUGAACGAUGGGAAUGUGGCUCCCCAGACUG
rnacentral:misc_RNA from 1 species